rnacentral:rRNA from 1 species
UAGGGAAUCUUCGGCAAUGGGGGGAACCCUGACCGAGCAACGCCGCGUGAGUGAAGAAGGUUUUCGGAUCGUAAAGCUCUGUUGUUAAGGAAGAACGAGUGUGAGAAUGGAAAGUUCAUACUGUGACGGUACUUAACCAGAAAGGGACGGCUAACUACGUGCCAGCAGCCGCGGUAAUACGUAGGUCCCGAGCGUUGUCCGGAUUUAUUGGGCGUAAAGCGAGCGCAGGCGGUUAGAUAAGUCUGAAGUUAAAGGCAGUGGCUCAAGCAGUGUAGGCUUUGGAAACUGUUUAACUUGAGUGCGGAAGGGGAGAGUGGAAUUGCAUGUGUAGCGGUGAAAUGCGUAGAUAUAUGGAGGAACACCGGUGGCGAAAGCGGCUCUCUGGUCUGUAACUGACGCUGAGGCUCGAAAGCGUGGGGAGCGAACAGG